UGGGGAAUAUUGCACAAUGGGGGAAACCCUGAUGCAGCGACGCCGCGUGAGCGAAGAAGGUUUUCGAAUCGUAAAGCUCUGUCCUAUGAGAAGAUAAUGACGGUAUCAUAGGAGGAAGCCCCGGCUAAAUACGUGCCAGCAGCCGCGGUAAUACGUAUGGGGCGAGCGUUGUCCGGAAUUAUUGGGCGUAAAGGGUACGUAGGCGGUCUAUUAAGUCAGGUGUGAAAGCGUGAGGCUUAACCUCAUUAAGCACUUGAAACUGAUAGACUUGAGUGAAGGAGAGGAAAGUGGAAUUCCUAGUGUAGCCGUGAAAUGCGUAGAGAUUAGGAGAAACACCGGUGGCGAAAGCGGCUUUUUGGCCUGCAACUGACACUGAGGCGCGAAAGCGUGGGGAGCAAACAGG
rnacentral:rRNA from 1 species